ACAUGUCACGAUGAGUGACGGGGCAGUCCGACCAAUGGCGAGUAGAGUGGGCGGGGAUGUAUGAUGGACUCCUUGGUGUAUGAAAUAAGGUGUGGGCGGGGCUAUAAGAUGAGUGACGGGUUACUACGGCCUAUGAGCGGGAGAGCUACUGGUUGCUUAGUGACUGCGGCUGUGCCUACCCAUAAUCCCAUGCGCUCCCCUCCAGUAUAUACAGGAUUGCACAGUAGUGAAGAAGACAUCCAAUGAGUGUGAGACACCCAGCAGCCAUCCCCGUUUGUUAGAAGGACUAAGCAGAACCCAGAGCUCCAUUACGGUGCCUCCACCUCACUCACUGAUACAUGAGAGACACAGUGACCAGAAGAUCCUUGAACUCACCAACAAGAUAAUUCAUCUGCUGACUGGAGAGGAGGGGGAGUAUAUAGAGGAACACAGGGGUCUGUACAAGGACGUGAUGAUGGAGAAUCACCGGCCCCUCACAU